rnacentral:rRNA from 1 species
GGUUAAGCGACUAAGCGUACACGGUGGAUGCCCUGGCAGUCAGAGGCGAUGAAGGACGUGCUAAUCUGCGAUAAGCGUCGGUAAGGUGAUAUGAACCGUUAUAACCGGCGAUUUCCGAAUGGGGAAACCCAGUGUGUUUCGACACACUAUCAUUAACUGAAUCCAUAGGUUAAUGAGGCGAACCGGGGGAACUGAAACAUCUAAGUACCCCGAGGAAAAGAAAUCAACCGAGAUUCCCCCAGUAGCGGCGAGCGAACGGGGAGCAGCCCAGAGCCUGAAUCAGUGUGUGUGUUAGUGGAAGCGUCUGGAAAGGCGCGCGAUACAGGGUGACAGCCCCGUACACAAAAAUGCACAUGCUGUGAGCUCGAUGAGUAGGGCGGGACACGUGGUAUCCUGUCUGAAUAUGGGGGGACCAUCCUCCAAGGCUAAAUACUCCUGACUGACCGAUAGUGAACCAGUACCGUGAGGGAAAGGCGAAAAGAACCCCGGCGAGGGGAGUGAAAAAGAACCUGAAACCGUGUACGUACAAGCAGUGGGAGCCUCUUUAUGGGGUGACUGCGUACCUUUUGUAUAAUGGGUCAGCGACUUAUAUUCUGUAGCAAGGUUAACCGAAUAGGGGAGCCGAAGGGAAACCGAGUCUUAACUGGGCGUUAAGUUGCAGGGUAUAGACCCGAAACCCGGUGAUCUAGCCAUGGGCAGGUUGAAGGUUGGGUAACACUAACUGGAGGACCGAACCGACUAAUGUUGAAAAAUUAGCGGAUGACUUGUGGCUGGGGGUGAAAGGCCAAUCAAACCGGGAGAUAGCUGGUUCUCCCCGAAAGCUAUUUAGGUAGCGCCUCGUGAAUUCAUCUCCGGGGGUAGAGCACUGUUUCGGCAAGGGGGUCAUCCCGACUUACCAACCCGAUGCAAACUGCGAAUACCGGAGAAUGUUAUCACGGGAGACACACGGCGGGUGCUAACGUCCGUCGUGAAGAGGGAAACAACCCAGACCGCCAGCUAAGGUCCCAAAGUCAUGGUUAAGUGGGAAACGAUGUGGGAAGGCCCAGACAGCCAGGAUGUUGGCUUAGAAGCAGCCAUCAUUUAAAGAAAGCGUAAUAGCUCACUGGUCGAGUCGGCCUGCGCGGAAGAUGUAACGGGGCUAAACCAUGCACCGAAGCUGCGGCAGCGACGCUUAUGCGUUGUUGGGUAGGGGAGCGUUCUGUAAGCCUGUGAAGGUGUGCUGUGAGGCAUGCUGGAGGUAUCAGAAGUGCGAAUGCUGACAUAAGUAACGAUAAAGCGGGUGAAAAGCCCGCUCGCCGGAAGACCAAGGGUUCCUGUCCAACGUUAAUCGGGGCAGGGUGAGUCGACCCCUAAGGCGAGGCCGAAAGGCGUAGUCGAUGGGAAACAGGUUAAUAUUCCUGUACUUGGUGUUACUGCGAAGGGGGGACGGAGAAGGCUAUGUUGGCCGGGCGACGGUUGUCCCGGUUUAAGCGUGUAGGCUGAUUUUCCAGGCAAAUCCGGAAAAUCAAGGCUGAGGCGUGAUGACGAGGCACUACGGUGCUGAAGCAACAAAUGCCCUGCUUCCAGGAAAAGCCUCUAAGCAUCAGGUAACAUCAAAUCGUACCCCAAACCGACACAGGUGGUCAGGUAGAGAAUACCAAGGCGCUUGAGAGAACUCGGGUGAAGGAACUAGGCAAAAUGGUGCCGUAACUUCGGGAGAAGGCACGCUGAUAUGUAGGUGAAGUCCCUCGCGGAUGGAGCUGAAAUCAGUCGAAGAUACCAGCUGGCUGCAACUGUUUAUUAAAAACACAGCACUGUGCAAACACGAAAGUGGACGUAUACGGUGUGACGCCUGCCCGGUGCCGGAAGGUUAAUUGAUGGGGUCAGCGCAAGCGAAGCUCUUGAUCGAAGCCCCGGUAAACGGCGGCCGUAACUAUAACGGUCCUAAGGUAGCGAAAUUCCUUGUCGGGUAAGUUCCGACCUGCACGAAUGGCGUAAUGAUGGCCAGGCUGUCUCCACCCGAGACUCAGUGAAAUUGAACUCGCUGUGAAGAUGCAGUGUACCCGCGGCAAGACGGAAAGACCCCGUGAACCUUUACUAUAGCUUGACACUGAACAUUGAGCCUUGAUGUGUAGGAUAGGUGGGAGGCUUAGAAGUGUGGACGCCAGUCUGCAUGGAGCCGGCCUUGAAAUACCACCCUUUAAUGUUUGAUGUUCUAACGUGGACCCGUAAUCCGGGUUGCGGACAGUGUCUGGUGGGUAGUUUGACUGGGGCGGUCUCCUCCUAAAGAGUAACGGAGGAGCACGAAGGUUGGCUAAUCCUGGUCGGACAUCAGGAGGUUAGUGCAAUGGCAUAAGCCAGCUUGACUGCGAGCGUGACGGCGCGAGCAGGUGCGAAAGCAGGUCAUAGUGAUCCGGUGGUUCUGAAUGGAAGGGCCAUCGCUCAACGGAUAAAAGGUACUCCGGGGAUAACAGCUGAUACCGCCCAAGAGUUCAUAUCGACGGCGGUGUUUGGCACCUCGAUGUCGGCUCAUCACAUCCUGGGGCUGAAGUAGGUCCCAAGGGUAUGGCUGUUCGCCAUUUAAAGUGGUACGCGAGCUGGGUUUAGAACGUCGUGAGACAGUUCGGUCCCUAUCUGCCGUGGGCGCUGGAGAACUGAGGGGGGCUGCUCCUAGUACGAGAGGACCGGAGUGGACGCAUCACUGGUGUUCGGGUUGUCAUGCCAAUGGCACUGCCCGGUAGCUAAAUGCGGAAGAGAUAAGUGCUGAAAGCAUCUAAGCACGAAACUUGCCCCGAGAUGAGUUCUCCCUGACUCCUUGAGAGUCCUGAAGGAACGUUGAAGACGACGACGUUGAUAGGCCGGGUGUGUAAGCGCAGCGAUGCGUUGAGCUAACCGGUACUAAUGAACCGUGAGGCUUAACCUU